rnacentral:rRNA from 1 species
GGAUCAUUACCGAGUGCGGGCCCCUCGGGGCCCAACCUCCCACCCGUGUUGCCCGAACCUAUGUUGCCUCGGCGGGCCCCGCGCCCGCCGACGGCCCCCCUGAACGCUGUCUGAAGUUGCAGUCUGAGACCUAUAACGAAAUUAGUUAAAACUUUCAACAACGGAUCUCUUGGUUCCGGCAUCGAUGAAGAACGCAGCGAAAUGCGAUAACUAAUGUGAAUUGCAGAAUUCAGUGAAUCAUCGAGUCUUUGAACGCACAUUGCGCCCUCUGGUAUUCCGGAGGGCAUGCCUGUCCGAGCGUCAUUGCUGCCCUCAAGCCCGGCUUGUGUGUUGGGCCCCGUCCCCCCCGCCGGGGGGACGGGCCCGAAAGGCAGCGGCGGCACCGCGUCCGGUCCUCGAGCGUAUGGGGCUUCGUCACCCGCUCUAGUAGGCCCGGCCGGCGCCAGCCGACCCCCAACCUUUAAUUAUCUCAGGUUGACCUCGGAUCAGGUAGGGAUACCCG